rnacentral:rRNA from 1 species
AUAUCAGUCAUGCAUAGCAUAUCAAUAAGCGGAGGAAAAGAAACUAACAAGGAUUCCCUUAGUAACGGCGAGUGAAGCGGGAAGAGCUCAAAUUUGAAAUCUUCAAGGUUUUACCUUGACGAAUUGUAGUUUAAAGAAGUGUUUUCUGUUGAAGUUUUGGUAAAAGUUCUUUGGAAUAGGACAUCAUAGAGGGUGAGAAUCCCGUAUUUGACCAUUACUUUCAGCUUUGUGAUACACUUUCAAAGAGUCGGAUUGUUUGGGAAUGCAGUCCAAAAUGGGUGGUAAAUUUCAUCUAAAGCUAAAUAUUGGCGAGAGACCGAUAGCGAACAAGUACCGUGAGGGAAAGAUGAAAAGAACUUUGAAAAGAGAGUUAAACAGUACGUGAAAUUGUCAAAAGGGAAGCGCUUUGACACCAGUGUUGUUUUCUCGAAAAUCAAUUAAAAAGAGUUGGAUUUUGUGUUGUAUUGACUUUAUCAGGCUUUCUUCACUCUUUUCCAGCUCUUUUUAAUGCACUUCUCGUUUAACAAGUCAACAUCAGUUUCUUUUGUUGUAAAAAGGUCAUUGGAAGGUGGCUUUCUCUUCGGAGAAAGUGUUUAUAGCCUUUGACUCAUGCAAUCGGAGAGACUGAGGUCUGCAGCGUAGAUCCUUCGGGGUUAGAUACAUUUGUGCUAAGUUAUAGCUUUUCAUAGACAACUUGUUGACUAUGUUUAGUCUUGUAGCUUACUCGCUUAUGCUAUUUUACCUACGCUUAGGAUGUUGAACUCUAUCACACACAG